rnacentral:rRNA from 1 species
AGUGAACGCUGGCGGUAUGCCUAACACAUGCAAGUCGAACGACCACACAGUAAUAGCUUGCUCUUACGGGUGGCGAGUGGCGGACGGGUGAGGAGUACAUCAGCAUCUACUUUUUCGUGGGUAAUCACGUAGGUAAACUUACGCUACUACCGCAUACGACCUACGGGUGAAAGCCGGGGAUCUUCGGACCUUGCGCGAUUGAAUGAGCCGAUGUUGGAUUAGCUAGUUGGUGGGGUAAAGGCGCACCAAGGCGACGCUCCGUAGCUGCUCUGAGAGGAUGAGCAGACAAACUGGAACGGAGACACGGUCCAGACUCCUACGGGAGGCAGCAGUGGGGAAGAUUGGACAAUGGGCGCAAGCCUGAUGCAGCCAUACCGCGUGAGUGAAGAAGGCAUUCGGGUUGUAAAGCUCUUUUGUUGGGAAAGAAAAACAGCAGGUUAAUACCGCGCUGUACUGACGGUACCGAAAGAAUAAGCUCCGGCUAACUACGUG